AAUCUUCCGCAAUGGACGAAAGUCUGACGGAGCAACGCCGCGUGAGUGAUGAAGGUCUUCGGAUCGUAAAUCUCUGUUGUUAGGGAAGAACAAGUAUCGUACGAAUAGGGCGGUACUUUGACGGUACAUAAGCAGAAAGCCACGGCUACCUACGUGGCACCAGCCGCGGUAAGACGUAGGUGGCAACCGUGAUCCUGAAUUAUUGGGCGCAAAGCGCGCGCAGGCGGUUUCAUAAGUCUGAUGUGAAAGCCCACGGCUCAACCGUGGAGGGUCAUUGGAAACCGGGAAGCUUGAGUGCAGAAGAGGAGAGUGGAAUUCCAUGUGUAGCGGUGAAAUGCGUAGAGAUAUGGAGGAACACCAGUGGCGAAGGCGACUCUCUGGUCUGCAACUGACGCUGAGGCGCGAAAGCGUGGGGAGCGAACA
rnacentral:rRNA from 1 species